UUUUCCCCGCCCGUUUCCACUUCGCAGGGGGCGGGCAUCCAGGCGCGCCGCCGCCCGGCCCUCCCCGGGGGCGCUCGGCCCGCCGCUCCCUGCGGCCGGGGCCGGUCCCGUGAGGGCUGCCCCGGCGGCGCCCCCGGGUCGCGGCGCCUGGGCAGGCCGGGCUGAGCCCCGGCCGCACGGGAUGCCACCAGGCGGGCGCUUGUCCCGUUCCCCGGGCGGCCCCCGCCCUCCGUCUCGGCGGCGUGGGCUGAGGCGGGAGCAGGCCGGGCGCUGGCCCUGUCAGGGGAGUGACCGCUCCGUGUGAGGCGGCGAGGGUUCCUCCCGCCUCAGCGCAUCCGUCCCGGGGAGCCCCGCCAGCCGCCUGCUAGCCUCCUGUCACCGAGGGCGAAGGAAGGGGCAGGAGGGACGGGUGCCUGCCCGGCGGCAGGGCGAGGGCUUUCCCCGGGGAGGACGAGAGAAGGCCCAGGGCGGAGCUCCCACAGGAGUCGUCUGUGGAGAAGGGGGCCCCUCUCCCCAACGCGGCCGGUGCUGCUUUCCCCGGGCCGACAGCCGAGCCCCGCGAGCACCCUGUCCCGGCACCGCAGGCCCAGAGAGGCCGGGCGGGAGGACAGCGGCGCGCUGUGCCGUGCGGGCGGGGGGCGGCGGAGCAAAGGCGCCAUUUCGAGCUGGUGGUGCCAGCCGCGCUCUCGCCGCCGGAGAUUGUGUAACCGCUCCGCGCCGUCUCCCGCCCCUUAGCGCCGGGGGUCGGCGGCCUGCGGGGGAGCGGAGGGUUCCUCCUCCCUCGGUGGGACGGUGUGAACAGCUCCGGCCGCCGGCGGCGCCGCUGAGGGACGAGCCCGGGGCAGCAGCAGUGCCACGUUAAGGCAGAGCCUCCUUGGCGGAGAGCGCAGCGCCGCUGAGGCUCGCCUGAGAGGAGUCUUGUCUUUUCCGUCAAGGAGAAAACCCUGAUUCUGGAGAGCUGCGGAAAUCUGUGUUUGUAAAGCCAUCUCCGGGAGCUCAGGUUUCUAAACCCUCUGCUUGCUCAGAAGGCCAAAAAGUCUCACCCGAUGUUCAGGAUUAGCUCUUAUCACUGCGUGAAGUUGGCGAUGAAAUCUGGCUAUUCCGGUGUGACGGAAUACGAGGGAACCUGCAAGAAAGGAACCUCGUGAUCACCAGUGACACCAAGAAAGAGAAACCUUCAGAUUGAGGGAGCUGCUCAUCAGUAUGUUCUGCAUUACAAGACAGCCAAGAAAGUAUUCCCAAGAGCUCUCCUCAAAACAGGACCCUUUGGAACAUCAACAGCAUCACUGGCAAUUGUGGGAAGAAGGAAUAAUGUGACACUCUGCUCCAGCACAUUUUUGAUCUGAAAUCAAACAAGUUUUCUGUCUUGGAUACAUGCAGUCCUGCUGACCAGACUGAUAUUAAUCAUAAUGCUGCAGACAUUUUUAUGGAAGAGAUCUUCAGGGAGAAAGGGAGAGAACAAGACUCAAUGGUGGUGGGGAAUUGUCCAGGAAUCUUUUCAGGAAAGAAGAAAAGCACAUUUUAAAGAAAAAAAAAAUCAUACUCAACAGAAUGUGACAUCAGCAGGUUUUUCCAGGCAAGUUUGAGCUGCCUACACUAACCAGCACGCACCUUCCCAACCACUUCUGAGUCACUCUUCAUUAAUCAUCCGAAAACUUUACUCUCAACCAGGUUCCAAUAUUAAAUUAUAAGAUUAACUGUAUACCAAGCCACCAUGAACAGGCAUGAAGAAGGUAAAUAACUGAGAUUUAAGGCGAAAAAAGCAAUCAACAAAAAUAUAUUUUAAAAGUUAUGUGAGGAUACAUUAACAUCUGAGAUGAAAGCCUUUGUGGGGCAAGUGCGAUGGGGAAAGUACUCCCUCUGCUAUAUGCACACUCCUUCCCGCAGCUCACAACACUGCUGUGCCUCUCCUACAUGUUCUUGCAUGGGCACCUCCCAUUGUAUUUUAGUAUUUCUUUAUGUUCCUGUUCAGAGGAACAGGCUGUGUCCUUUUCAACAGCUGUAGGAGGGCUCCUUUCAGAAUUUCUCAGAUAUGAAGUUUGAAAACUAUUUCAGAGGCUGGUAGGCAGUUUCUGGUUUUAUUGCCACUGAUGUUUUCCUGGCUUUCAUUCUAUAUUUUAUGCUAGUUGUAAAAUUAAGUAGGUUCAUCCCUUGAAUUAGAAGAAAGUUGUGUAAAUAUAAAAUGUACUCAAUUCAUCUAGCCACCAUAUAAACAUACUCAAUAGUUGCUAAGACAGGAUUUUUUCCUAAAGUUAUAAAUAAAUUAAAAUAUAAUAAAAAUAGCGUGUGAAGGGUGGAGACUCUGAGGAGAUAACUUAUUUAAGAGAUGGAGUAACUUACUAAAACAAAAUACUGUAGGCUUUUCAGGUAUAGAGUAAAAAUACACCAGGAAAAAAGGAAUGUGAGAGUUAAUUUCCAUCAUAAAUUGAUGUAAUAUACUGGCUUUUCACACCCCAGGGGUACAAAAAACCAAGCAGAGCUGUUUCUAAAAGCAGACGUUCUCAGUGAACUGAGUGGUAAUACUCAGAAUCAUGGCUACUUGUUUAUUGGAGCGGGUGGUUAUUUUUUCAUGGUUUUACUAAACAUGUACCUGUUUUUCUAGCAUCUUUCUGAUCCCUGUGCUCCUGGCUAGUGGAAUAGCAAGGCCUGCAGGAAGGGUGGUGCUGGGCACUCUGCCUCUGAGCACAGUACAGGUGUUGGAGCUGGCAGAGAUAAUCUGCUAUUUAGGUAUGGUGUAAAUACUGGACUAUGUAAACAUGCCACUUGCUGUCUCGUCUGACUGAUUCCCAGAGCUGAUGUACAUAAACAUCCUGCCCUAGUGGUUAUUUCUAGGACACUGAAGCCAAGAUAACUAUUUAUGUUAAUAUUAACUUUAUGGAAAAGAGAUGCAAACAUAUUAAUGAGGGGCUGGCACCAUGAUUAAAGGUUUUUCUUCUUUUCCUAAAGAUUUGUGUACUUUUACACUACAUGUAAAACAUAUUUCUUGGCACAAACUGAGUGUUUCUUGAGGCAUGCUGAAGACAACAUACCACCCUCUUCUGCAUUGAAUUGCGUGCACUAUAUUUUCUGUUCACCAGCCUAAAAAUCUGGUCCUAGAGCAGCUCUGAGCCUGACCAAAGUCAUAUGUUGUGAUUGGACUCUUGGAGAAUAUUUGCAUCCCCAAAUGACUGCAUGCUCUGUGAGCCCAGUGAUGAUGAAACACACUGGAGCUGUAAUACCUUCUUUGGUUUGUGAUCUAACCCUUGCCAAAUACUAGCUAGGGCUUCUGGGCUUCUGCCUCUAGCACCUCAUAUUUCCAGGGUUCUGCUAUCCAAAUUCUGGAUGAGCCUCACAUUGUUAUGAUCAAGAUUAAUCCUAGAAUGUGGUAAGAUAAAUGAAUCAUAGACUUGCACAGUUGGGACAGGAAUGGGACAUUUUCAGUCUUAGGGUCAGAAAGAACACUUAGUUAUGCACUAAGCCUGCAAGUGCCUGCAAGUCACUCAUCUAUCCUAUAGAAUUUCCUCUUUGUAAGCCAGUGCCUGAAAAGAAAGCAGAGCUUUCAGGGAGAACAGUGAUCGUCAUUUUUGAGUUCCUGGUGCUAAUGAAGCCAUCUAUCUGUGGUAAGCUGUUGCAGUGAUGAAUUCCUUUGCUCUGAAAAAUAAGUGCUUAUGUUUUCCAUCUAGAUUUGUCUGGCUUUUGUCUGGCCACUGAUUCUUUUGUUUUUGUCUGCUCAAGCAAAAACCCUUCUAUUAUGAUUCUUUUUUCUUCUGUAUAGAUACUUGUUGCUUUAGGAAGCUUUCUACCCCUACCUUAGCUGUUAUUUGGAUAAGCUAAAUAAAGCAGUAUCAUCUGGUGCUACUAAAAUCAUCCUUUUCAGCCUGCUAAAGAGAAAGUUGAGGACACUGACAACCAAUGCUCUUUGGAGACUUCCCUUGUUCUGACUUGGUUACUUUAGCUGAAUUUGGAGCCUAUUCAGUAUUGGGAUUCAGACCAAACUCCAAUUAGAAUAAAGGGUAAAACCACAUCUGAUCUGCCUCAAGACAAGACAUCUGUAAGUUGCUAAACCAUCCCUCUAAAUGCAAAUUGUUGUAGGUUUGUAGUAAAAAAUGUGAUGGGACAGGUGAUAUAAUUAUAAAAUGAUAUAGCGUAUGCAUGUUUUCAUCAUGUGUGUUGUCUGAUGACUAAAAAUUAAAGACACUUUGUCUUGUUUGGACUGUUUUAGAAAAAGAGGAAAAGGCUGUGUGAUUUUGUUCCUUAAAUAAUUUUCUCAAAUCUGUUUUUUCAAAUGCCUUCCAGGAAAUGUUCUUAGGUGCAUCUCUUGGCUUACCUGGAUUGGAAAGGGUGUAUAGUUAAGGGAAACUAGCCAAAGUCUUUCUCUGAGUGCUGUAUUUUGUUCUUGUGCUUCUAAAUAUGAUGUGUGAACCUAGGUUAAAUUCUAUGACGGAACUUCAAUCAGUUACAAGAGGAAAAUUCUUGGAGUCCAUUAUUCAAUUGUAUUUCAGUAAGUCAAGGUAAACAGUGCAGGAAUAUGUUAGAAACUGAGGUACAAGUCCACUAGCAGUACUAGAAGCAGACAAAAUGCUUAUAAAAGCAGAUGGACUGCUGUGCAGUUAUUAGUCUGAGACUUGUACAGUUUGUAACCUGAAGCGGAGACAUUACGUCAUUGAUGGAGAAGGUCUUGGCAAAACUCCUGGCAUAAUGUUUGAUAGAAGUAAAACCAGGAUACCUUCAUCACAUAAAUACACUCUGUGUAUCUUUUGGUAUAUGGAACGCACUUGUCUACGCAUCAAGGAAGACAAUAUCCUAGAAUAAAACUAAACAGAAUAAUAAUGGGUAACUGUUUUUCUUUGCACUUUGUUUAUAUCAGAAAUACAAAUUUGAUGGUACUUAGGAGGAGAAGGAAGUGCUGGAAGGACUGCUGUAGAUUGCUCAUGCAGAGCCUUUGAUAGCAGUUAUGUUAUCAACUGCUGUUGAACUAGAAUAUCAACCCAGCAACCUUCUCCUUGAACAGCAGUCCUGUGAAGGGCUGCUGCAGACGACAGCACCCAGGAGAGAAGGUAUAGGAUGCAAUAUGUACAAAUGCCUAAUAAGGGAAAAGUCCUGUCUCUUUAGAAGUAACUGGUAUAGCAAACUGCACAUGAAAUAGUUUAGCUUGCCUGGGUAAAUCUCAUUCAUUCCUGUAUUUUUAUUCCUGUUUAUUGUUUUCCAAGUGAUAAAUGAAUAGCACUCUGCUCACAUAAUUGCACAUGUGAUAUAAUACUGUCAUUAAGCAAGGGAAAGGAAGGCAGGAAGAGAAAGGCCCUUUACCAUUUGAGUACAGCAAUGCAAGAAAGUUCCAACAGAUGAUCACUAGAGCACUGCCCAUGUUUCUUUUGGUGGUGGAUUUCCCUAAAGAAGUUUGAAGCAGUAACAUUCUUGCACAGCAAGUCAGGACUGUAAACAUGUGGCUAUAAAGCUGUUAUACAUAUAGGCAAUACAAACUAAAUAUGAAAAAAAUUCAGGCCAGGAGAAACACUUUAAGUGUCUGUAUGACAAAUGCUAACUAUAGCACACAGCACAAUCACCACCACAGUAUCAAUGACAGACACUAGUAUAGCACACUUAUCCCAGAGUUUAAGUCUAAUUAGAUAAGUUUUUACAAAAAAAGCUUAGUUCCAAAGGAAAACUAAUUUUUUCCAGGGCCUAACAGAUGAAAUCUACAGUGUAAGACAAACUGUUCCACUUGGUGCUCUAUGUUUCUAAAGAGCAUGCAGUGGACCACAACAUGAGGCAUUAGGUUUCUAAUUUCAGCCAGCUGAUCUUUUAUAUGCUAGUGAUAUAAACAGAAGAAAAUGUGCCAUUUCAAUAUGGGAUCAUUUUUAGAUCAUUAUCAUAUUCACACUACUUAGUCUUACCUAUUUUUUAUUCUUUUUCAGGGUACUUAUUUUAGGAACAAAUAGUUGCAGGAGGUUCCCUGUAGUUUUUUUGUUUUGUGGUUGGGUGUUUUUUGGGGGUCUGGAAGAGAUUUUGCUGUUUCACAAAUCAGAAAAGUAUUUUUCAUUCAGAAACGGGCUCCAGAUCUCAUUAAUUUAAAUAGCUUUUCCUGUUCCAAGAUAGGAAAAUUAGGAUAGAAAAGAUUUGCCCUCAUUUUAUGGAGCUAGUCUGCUUAGCUGGGAAAAUAAUUUGGCAGAGGGAGGGAUGUCUCUGAGAGUGGCAUUUAUUGCUUGACAAGUCAGUGCAAAACCAGCCUUUGAAAGAUUGACUAUUUCAUUUUUAAACACAAACCCCGAAAUUGUAGCACCCAUUGUCUAAUUGUUAUUAGAUGUGAAGGGAACAGGAACUGUAGUAGCUGCAUUUGACUAUAAUCACAUCCCAGUGAGGAAGAGGUGUGGUAGAAUGAGACAUUCAUUAGCUGUCUUACUAAAGCAUAUCCUAGCAAUAUUUUUUCUCCAAUUAUUACAGACUGUACUGCAAGCUUGGAGAAAGAAGAAGGGGUACUGUGUUAUGCCUACCAACAGGUAACUGUUAAAUGAGCUCUCACUUCUGCCCUUAUUUACCUUCUCCUUCCUCUUGUCCUACUGAGGUAUGGUCAUGAGCAAGAGAAAUAACAGGACUGCUACUAUAAAACUUCGCCCGCAUCUUAACCAGCAAAGUUUUUGCUCAAUAAAUCUAUUGUAUUUUCCUGUGAUAACACUUACUAGCCGGAAUUACUCCUCACCAGCAUAUGCUGUUUCCUCCUCUAGCAUUUUGUUAUUCUGAUGUAACUACAUUACUAUGGACUUAGUGAUGAGUACAGUAUCUCUGCUAUGUAUGUGCUAACUAGUAACUCAGCAGUAACAGCAACAUCAGUUCACAGAGUGCAAUCUUAUUUGGUAUUUUUUAUCUGUGUACCAUACAAACUAUUCUUUAUACAAAUAUGAUUACUCAGUUUUCUUCAGGUAUUUUAUUAUUGCUCUUUAAAGGUGUAACAGCAUAGGGACAUAAAGAUGUUUUUUCCAUUGUAUACCAGUUGUCAGCAGUUACGUCAUACUAUCAGCGGGGCUCCAUGACAAAAUCCCUGCUAGUAUGUUGAUAUCUCACAAUGCACUUUGUGAUUCUGUAUGUGCACCCUGUGCUACCUUAUAGCAUAAGUUCUUUUAUAAAAAAGGGGCACGUAAAAGCAUUACAAAAGGUCAAUGGAAAAUGUGAAGAAAAUGUUCAUAGAUUUAAAUCCACGAGAAACAUGGCUGGAUGGCCAAUUCAGGGAUAAAGUGCUGCAGUUAGCUAAAUCAUAUACAAUCUAAAACACACAAAAUACAUUCAACGUAUUUCAUGCUUUAUAAGCAGGGAAAAAAACAAUUUGUGUGCUGUGACAACACACAUUUAGCUGGUUAGUUUGCACUUUCCUAGGAGUCCCUAAAAAUAAACUGAAAACAUCUUAAACUACUUAUGGCAAAUAGAAUGGCAGGAAAACUCUAUUGUUUCCAAAUGUGCAUGGAAACAAAUGAGUGAACAUGAGGGUCCCCUAUAAGAGAAAGAGUCUUAAUGGAAGAACUUCCUGAACUCUGAAGUCCUAUGAAUGUAAUAGAGUAAGUCUUGCUAGCUUAACAGGAUUUUAUCUGUCAGUACAAAGGCAGCGCCUCUUGUUAACUUCAGAAUAUAUGUUUCAAAAUUCAACUAAUACACUUCAUACACAUCACUUAGUGAAAACCUACUGAAAAGGUAAUACCAAGAGAGAUUAAUACAGGUCUGUCUCCUCCUGUGCCACUUCUGCUUUGUAUAAUAUGAAGGCAAAGGCAGAACAAAUGUUUGAUAAGUUCACUGUCUGACCCACUCAGAACUAUCAGGCUGUUUCUGACCACAACCAGGCCAAAAUUCAGGUUAAACAUGUGGAAGUAUAUUUAUCAAAAGGGAGAGGAAAACCUGGAACUUAGGUGUCAAAGGUAGACAUAUGGCAUUCUGUAUCUAAAUACUUUUAGAUUUUUGUUAAUUUAGGGUUCUUCCCUUGCUGCUGCAAAAUGAAAGUGUAAGAACUUAAAGUCUUCUCCUUCCCCUGAAACAGAUAAAUGUGCUGCUGUUUGUGGGCCUUUUUAUUUGCACACUUUCCAAAGUUAGUUCACUAUUAAAAAAAAAAAAAGUAAUUCAUGCCCUAUUUAUUUAUCAGGAAAUGACCAGGGAAUAUCAUCAAUAAAUGCAAAAUAGAAAAAAAUACUAUCCAAGAUAUCUUUCCCCACUUUAAACAUGUAAGUUGCAAAUGAAUGUAACUGGUGUGUGAUUAGAGACAGAUGUUGCACAGUUCCUUGUAAAACCUUGUCAUCUUGUCAGACUGCCUGUCUUUGGGAUCUUCUCAGGCCCUGUGUGACUCAAAUGCACCAUUUGAGGACAGGUAAUACAGGUAUAUCUUUUGAGGAGGUUCUUAGGAAGGAAGGAAGGAUGUAAACACUGGAGAAGAUUUCUAUGCCUUUCAGGUACAACUAAGAUAAUAUGCAGCUGCCCACCCUUAGUGAAUCUUACCUUGGCCAGUUGUGCUUGGAGUUUGUUCUUUGCAUCAGCUACUUCAGCAAUACGGUUAUUAAAGGCCAAGUUGGUACUGAUGAAAUGAUUCCACAUCUCCUCAGAUGUGCAUUCCAGUCCAACCUCUGUAUCCUCUCGGAGCUUGACAGAGUUGGCCCUUGCAUGCUGAGAGCACCUGAUAUUGUCUUCACUGAAUUUAGCCCAUGUUUCAGGAACUGAAACACUAGUAAGAAAUUUAAAAUAAGAGGAAAACAAAAGAUAAAAGCUUAGCUGAGCUAUUUUCUGUUCAGUGAUAAUUAUACUGAGAUUGCACAGUUCAAUGGAUGAACACUUAAACUGCAGUCACAUCAGGUGAUUCUAUUUGUUUCAGUUUCACACCCACUUCUUUUUCCUUUUUUCCUCUAUAAACCAAAGAUUUGGCAACACCAAGUGAAGAUUUUGGAGGGCCGUUGCUUCAACAGAAUUUCUAUGGUUUGCUUGGAUAUUGUAGCAGCUAACUAAAGGUCUUAGUGGCCCUGGCAUCAACUCCAAAGUUAGUAGGCUUAUGUUUUGCUGUAUAAAGGAUGACAUUUUCUUGCAUACUUUUUGUUUAUUGAUGCUUAAAAAUAGAUUUUUGGGGUCAGGUAUGAAUGUUGGCAACACACCACCUUCUUGUCUGUCAAGGUUCAGAGGGCUUAUGGCCUUACUGGAUUAUUUAGUAUGGUCUCCUGUACAUUGCACACUAUCAAAUUAGAUUCAAAUACCAUCUACUUGUGUGAACCCAAACCUUUAUCCUGGGGAAAGAGAGUUAUGUGCCACCAACCACCAGAGAACAGGAGAGCCCAACCUAGUCUAAGGAAAAUAAAGAAGACGCCAAAGGAGAAAGGAUUGUUACACAGCUCUUCAGACAGCUCUGGUCUGCUAUCAGAGCAGCCCUACCUCAUGAGAUAUGCAUGACCUAUAUAAUAAAGUAUGUGGCUCUGACAUCCUAGUAGCCUUCAUCAUCAGAAUGAUAGCAGGAAAAUGGAUAAGGCACUGACCUAGGAGUAAGGAGAACUGGAAUUUUCUUGCAGUCCCAACACUGUCCCUCUGUGUUAUUUGGAUAAAUAUCUCCAUCCUCUUACUUCUCUGUGUAUUAAAAUGAACACCUCUGCUUUAACUUACACAGCUGUUACAGUUAAAUUUAGUAAUAUCUAUGAGGCAAGCAGAAAUGACUCUGCUAUGGAAAAGUCUAGGAAUAUAGAGUGAAAGACUGAAUAUAGGGCACCUGCACUGAAAAAUGCCACCCAUGAAUAUUACUGCUGCAGUAUCCUGUCUGCAGACAAACUUUGGGAUGCUUGGGUUUGUGUCCAAGCUUCACAGAUGGACAUCAUCAUAAUUAACAUAAUUACAAACAUAAAUCCCAGACUCAAGUCUUUCCAAACUGGGAAUCUGCAGGGCUCUAAACUUGCAGCCUGAGCCCCUGGCUUGAAAACUUUAACUCUCUUUGGAGUUAAAUUCACUGCUGCCUUUAAUUCAUUGCUUCACCUACUAGGUCACUUCUCCCUUCACCCAGAAAUAUUUAGUGUGUUUUAUGAAGAGGUACAGACUUUUUAUUUGGCAAACUGAAACACUGAGACAGACUUCUGCCUGCAUUUAGACUUCUUUCUCCACACAAAACGUCUUUCUAAGAAUUAUGUCAGUAUGUUAAACUCUGCAGGGACAGGUCACUAUUAAUAUUGAGUUUCAUACUUGCUUUAGAUUUUAAUUGAACACUGAGAAUAAAUAUUAAGGAAUACUAAAAGAAAAAGUUAGUUUUGUUAGUGCUUGUUUUCUCAAGGGCCCAUUUUUCAGUUUUUCCACACGGUAUUCCCCUCUCUCCAAAAUGAAGUACUGAUCUUGGAAUUCCUUAGUGCCACACAUGUAGGCAGUUUCAGGUAACCAACGUGAUACCAUAGUAAAAUGCAUAAAUCAGUGUACUAAACCUGAGCUGACAUUACUUACAGGUACUGAUCUAGACAAUCUCAGUGUACUUUCUGCAGGGUAUUUGAGUUUGGGCUUCUUUCCCCUCUGUGGUCUGAUGGAUUAUGUUCAUUUUCUCAUCAGUAAAUUAUAUUUCCAGGUAGGUUUCCAUCUUGACUAUCAGAAAUACUUGGUACUUAAUCUGUUCUUCAACAUUGCUCUUUCAGACUGUAAUUUAUCCAUCUGGCUCUGUUGAGGCAGAAAACACCUGCUCUGCUCCUGAGUGCUGCAGAUGUUGCAACCAUCUCACAUGCCUCAGAUGCAACGUAGGUCAAGAAUGGAUGUAUUUUGGUCCCUCUUCCUCAGUGCUACAAAGUUGUAUCUUUUGACUUGACUUUUUAUGGCUUUUUAUAUUAUAGCAAACUAUUGGACGGAGUCAUUCUAAUAAACAUAAAGUCAAAUUUUGCUUGGCUGAAGUAUAAUGAAUAUACUUGAAAUACGAGCCUUAAUCCAUUAAACUGCCCUCUCUAACUACUUCUACAUUUUUCUAGAACAAUACAAAUAUUUUGCUAAUAGUGGAGUAAGUUGAAAAUAUAUCUGAUUUCAGAAACAGACUCCCUAAGGAAGCAUAUUGUAAUAUUCUUCAAAACUAUAAAUAUUAGUCAAAGAAAUUCGAAGCCAGGUUCCACUCAGCUUAAAAUAAAUAAAAAAUACUCAAGUCAACCACAUUGAAAACUAUGUAAACAUGGUAAUUAUGGUCCCUCAAACACCGUUAUGAUGUUCCAGCCUCUUUCCUUUUUAAAAACUCUGCGUUAGCCCAACAUAGUCUCUUACCUAAGUUUGUACAGUUUUGCGAGUUUUAAAACAGAGAAUAAAGUGGUUUAAAUUAUUUGGAAGUCAUUAAGACACCCCCAAAUUUAAAAAUACAGGCUCUGUCUCUGUACUUGUACAGUACGUGGGGGAGUGACAGGAACUUUAGAACUGACUUUGCUGUUGUUACAAACGGCCCCUUUGUUGUCCUUUAUUGUCGCUAUCUAUCGAGCUUGCUCCAUAGCCGUGCUGGGGGAGAUCAGGCAAAUAGCCUUUAUGGUUCAUUUGGAUAAAAUAGUUUUUUCAUCUGUUCAUGUGGAACAUUUAGCAGUAUUUCAUCCUACCCUGAAUUCUCAUGCUAAAUGAAGUGCUGAAAUACUUAAGCUAAUAUAUAUUAGUUGCUUGAUUCUUCUUUAAAACUCUAAAACUCCACAUUGCAGGCUAUAGGUUCUGAACAAGGAUCUUUGUUACCCAAGUGGUCUGCACCUCCUUCUGCAAUCUGUUAAUCCAGAAAAGUGCUUGAAGCAAUGCCAUUGUCCCAUAAUGUUCCUGCCUUGUAUAUUUGUUCUCAUACACAUCCAAUAUAACUUCUUCUUAGCAAAAUGCUAUUUGAUUAUUUUUAUUUAAAAGAUUUAGCAAUAACUACUAUCCAUCUCAUUUUCUUUGUUCAGUAACACUAUAUAUAUAUAUAUAUAUAUAAAACGAGGCAGUAAACCAGCAUUUUAUAUUGUAAGCCCUAAGAACUUCUGAGAUUUUAUAGACCAUGGCCCAGAAAUCAAUCUUGAGAAAUAGUUCUACCUUGUUUUAUAGGAUCAGGGAAGAUAGAACUGGGUAAGACCUUACAAGGAUGAUAGGCUAUUACUUUUGCUCCAGGAAGGAUGAUUAACCAUCCCCAAUCUAUAUAGUUUUCUUCUUUUCACCCCUUCAGUCUUCAAAUGAAUGAAGGGAAGAAAUUAUUGCAAUAUUUCUACCCUGAUAAAUAUUUAGUUGGAUUUUAGUUAUUUCCACAGUUUGAAAAAUAAACUAGUGAGUCUGAUCUUACCUUUAUGAGGUUCUUUUCCACAUCGUCAUGAACUAAGUCUAUACCCUGCCGCUUCUCACGGUGAUACAAGCAUUCCAGGGCUAUCUGCAAGCAAACCAAGGAACAUUUGCAAUAGGCUCAGUACCGCAUUGUGGAGUGGAACCUUGACCUUCGCUGAAGGGGCCACUGAGCUGGCACAUCAGGUAAUGACCACCUAUUGAGGGUGGAACAGAAUAGGAGGUGGCUUCACUGCGCUCAGCUGAUCCGUCUUUGUGACUCAUUCCUACUUACCUGUUAAUACAUACUUUUAAGGAUUAGCUGCCACCAUAGCUGCCAUUUGAUUAGCUGCUUAUUAAUGUGCAGCAAGGCCCACAUCUCCACAUGCCCAAGCUUUGCUGUAAAUUGUGUGGAUUAAAACACCCGUGUUGUCCUAUGCUCAUCUGUAGCAAAAUCCUUUAAUCUCAUCUCCCCUCAUCCUCCCUUACCCAAUGCCAAAGUUUGGAAGCUUCAUACCUACCCAAGAGAAUGACUGCAUAACUACAGUCAUUGAUGGAAUUCGGUUAACCUGCCCCAGCAGGUUAACUUUACUCUUAAUGUCUCAUCCACUUGUUUAGCACCAUACUAAUAUAUGAAACAGCAUUAGCUGGCACAAAGCCAUUCAGCAGAAAAUGUUCCCUGAAUAGAAAGCAUCCUCAGCCUGCCACUCUGAAUCAGUACAGAUAGAGACAACUAAGUCAUUAUUGAAUACUGAAUUUUGGUUUUCCAUUUGUACUCGCCUAGAAACAUUUCUGAUAGACAUGGCUUCCAUCAGCAAUACUCCAGAUAUUUAUCAGAGAUCUCUGACUCUAGUUUUUGCAUGUUUUGAUUUUUUGCUAGCAUCAUUCAUUGACUCUUAUAUUACUGUGGCUUUUUCUGUUGCACCUAAUUUGCCCUUAAGAUUCUGGAGAACUUCAAAAUUUAACACCAGUGAUAUGCCACCCUAAGUGAAAAUAUUAUUUUCACCAAGCAAUAGCAGAAAAUUCAGAGCUAGAUAAGAAUAUCAGGAUAUUGCAGCUUAGAAGGCCAUCUUUUGCUCUCCUGUAAUGUACUGAGCUCACUGGCCAGUGCCAGAGGGAGACAGCCUCCUAGAGCCUCAAGCAGGAUGGAAAAGAGGGCAUAGAAGUAACUUGAUAGGUUCCUUUGUUGGCUUUUAUAUAUGAAGUGGCCAGCUUUCCUUCUUACUGAGGGUGAUGUUUCACCAAGAUCUGUCUUAAUAACAGUAAAAGCCAUGCUAGUACUCAACAGAGAUAACACCAUUUUCUUUACCCAUUCUGCAGUACAGUCAUGA